rnacentral:misc_RNA from 1 species
UUUCCGUAGGUGAACCUGCGGAAGGAUCAUUCAUAAUAAAGUGUUUUAUGGCACUUUUUAAAAAUCCAUAUCCACCUUGUGUGCAAUGUUAGAUCUCGUCAAUCUUGGCGAGAUUUUUAUACAUCAACUCAUUCUUUAACUAAUUUGUCUGAAAAAUAUUAUGAAUACUUAAUUCAAAAUACAACUUUCAACAACGGAUCUCUUGGCUCUCGCAUCGAUGAAGAACACAGC